rnacentral:lncRNA from 9 species
UGAGUCCUUUCCUUCUCCUGGGUCAGGUGGCUCAGGGCACUGCAGGAUAACCAACAGGAAGGCCCAGCAGCGAGGCUCAGGUGGAGAGCGAGGUGUCUUGUCUCCUAUAUCACUUCUAGAACACUUUAUAAACUAACUCCCAGUCAUUUCCCGCACCCUCCACUCUCACACACACAAAGAAAAGUCUAAAACCUCCCUCCCCUUAAAUGCAUGCCUCUGCAGGAAUUUCUCUUCAGUAUAAAUUUCUUGGAACUAAAACUUCUUUUAAGGAGAAAAGAAAUGGGCACGCCCAUGCUAGGUGUAAGGCAACAAUGCAACGAGAAAAUGAAGGGGUAAGAAUGAAUUAGCGCCAACGCCAAUCCCCAGGAGUUGAGAACCCUGGGCGCUUGGAGCCUGAGGGGCGGGGACAGCGCCUGGUGAACUUUCCCUGGCCGAGCCGCGGGAGAUGCAGCUCCCAGGGGACCGGGUGGGACCAGAAAAGGCUGAGCCGACCUGAGACAUCGGCGGGGACAACAGGAAGCGAGUCUCCCCUUUUCCUAAAAAGAGCUCUGGUCCCGGCAGACGCCCCCCGCCCCCUGCCAGCCGUCGUCAACCAGCCAGCGCCCCCACCCCCGCCCCGCCACCUCGCUUUCCCUGCCCGAGCCAAGCGGGGAGGGGCGCGCACACAAAAGGGGGAGCGUCCGGGGAAGGGGCUCCCGGCGUCGUCGGCUCGCUGAGGCCUCGCUCGCCUUCCCGGCGCUGCCUGCCCGCGACCACCCGCCUUCCCGCGCGUCCGGGUCGCAGCCCCCAGUUUCAGACUCCCAUUGGGGGGCGAGUAGGGUGGGUCAGGUGGUGACCUGCCAAGCACCCGGCUUUGAAGAGACUACACAAGGAAGGGACUGGAACUGGAUGAAGGCCAGAAUACAGUUCCAACUCUGCCCCCAGACAGUCUGCAAAGGGCCUUGCACCCUCCUCCUGGACAAGCCUGCCGAAGAGACCCACCUGCUCAUCUGGGCACACACCCCAGGGAACAGGCACUUCGGCCCUCCUCCCCUGAGGACUUGCAGUCUCCUGGUCUGCUGAGACAAAUCCACAUGCUCAGCCACAGAGACUGAAG